CAAUAGCGUAUAUUAAAGUUGUUGCGGUUAAAAAGCUCGUAGUUGGAUUUCUGUUGAGGAAGUCCGGUCCGCACUUUGUGCGUGAUCUGGUUCUGCCUCGGCAUCCUCGCGGGGAACGCGCUGCGCUUGAUUGCGUGGUGUGGUAUUCGCGACUUUUACUUUGAGGAAAUUAGAGUGUUCACGGCAGGCAUUCGCCUUGAAUACGUUAGCAUGGAAUAAUAGCAUCGGAUCAUCGUUCAGCUGUUGGUGUCUGGACGAGGAUAAAGGUGAACAGGGAUUGUUGGGGGCAUUCGUAUUUAACUGUCAGAGGUGAAAUUCUUGGAUUUGUUGAAGACGAGCUACUGCGAAAGCAUUUGCCAAAGAUGUUCUCAUUGAUCAAGAACGAAAGUUAGGUGAUCGAAGACGAUCAGAUACCGU
rnacentral:rRNA from 1 species